UACGUAGGGUGCAAGCGUUGUCCGGAAUUAUUGGGCGUAAAGAGCUCGUAGGCGGUCUGUCGCGUCGGCUGUGAAAACCCGGGGCUCAACCCCGGGCCUGCAGUUGAUACGGGCAGGCUAGAGUUCGGUAGGGGAGACUGGAAUUCCGGGUGUAGUGGUGGAAUACGUAGAUAUCCGGAGGAACACCAGCGGCGAAGGCGGCUUUCUGGUCCGAUUCUGACGCUGAGGCGCGAAAAGCGUGGGGAGCGAUCCGG
rnacentral:rRNA from 1 species